UAGAGUUUGAUCCUGGCUCAGAUUGAACGCUGGCGGCAUGCCUUACACAUGCAAGUCGAACGGCAGCACGGGGGCAACCCUGGUGGCGAGUGGCGAACGGGUGAGUAAUACAUCGGAACGUGUCCUGUAGUGGGGGAUAGCCCGGCGAAAGCCGGAUUAAUACCGCAUACGCUCUACGGAGGAAAGGGGGGGAUCUUAGGACCUCUCGCUACAGGGGCGGCCGAUGGCAGAUUAGCUAGUUGGUGGGGUAAAGGCCUACCAAGGCGACGAUCUGUAGCUGGUCUGAGAGGACGACCAGCCACACUGGGACUGAGACACGGCCCAGACUCCUACGGGAGGCAGCAGUGGGGAAUUUUGGACAAUGGGCGCAAGCCUGAUCCAGCAAUGCCGCGUGUGUGAAGAAGGCCUUCGGGUUGUAAAGCACUUUUGUCCGGAAAGAAAACGUCGUGGUUAAUACCCGUGGCGGAUGACGGUACCGGAAGAAUAAGCACCGGCUAACUACGUGCCAGCAGCCGCGGUAAUACGUAGGGUGCAAGCGUUAAUCGGAAUUACUGGGCGUAAAGCGCACGCAGGCGGUCUGUCAAGUCGGAUGUGAAAUCCCCGGGCUCAACCUGGGAACUGCAUUCGAAACUGGCAGGCUAGAGUCUUGUAGAGGGGGGUAGAAUUCCAGGUGUAGCGGUGAAAUGCGUAGAGAUCUGGAGGAAUACCGGUGGCGAAGGCGGCCCCCUGGACAAAGACUGACGCUCAGGUGCGAAAGCGUGGGGAGCAAACAGGAUUAGAUACCCUGGUAGUCCACGCCGUAACGAUGUCGACUUGGAGGUUGUGCCCUUGAGGCGUGCUUCCGGAGCUAACGCGUUAAGUCGACCGCCUGGGGAGUACGGCCGCAAGGUUAAAACUCGAAUGAAUUGACGGGGGCCCGCACAAGCGGUGGAGCAUGUGGUUUAAUUCGAUGCAACGCGAAGAACCUUACCUACUCUUGACAUCCAGAGAACUUAGCAGAGAUGCUUCGGUGCCUUCGGGAACUCUGAGACAGGUGCUGCAUGGCUGUCGUCAGCUCGUGUUGUGAAAUGUUGGGUUAAGUCCCGCAACGAGCGCAACCCUUAUCCUUUGUUGCCAGCGAUUCGGUCGGGAACUCAAAGGAGACUGCCAGUGAUAAACUGGAGGAAGGUGGGGAUGACGUCAAGUCAUCAUGGCCCUUACGAGUAGGGCUACACACGUGCUACAAUGGCAUAUACAAAGAGAAGCGACCUCGCGAGAGCAAGCGGACCUCAUAAAGUAUGUCGUAGUCCGGAUUGGAGUCUGCAACUCGACUCCAUGAAGUCGGAAUCGCUAGUAAUCGUAGAUCAGAAUGCUACGGUGAAUACGUUCCCGGGCCUUGUACACACCGCCCGUCACACCAUGGGAGUGGGUUGCAAAAGAAGUAGGUAGCUUAACCUUCGGGAGGGCGCUUACCACUUUGUGAUUCAUGACUGGGGUGAAGUCGUAACAAGGUAGCCGAUCUAGAUGC
rnacentral:rRNA from 1 species